rnacentral:ncRNA from 1 species
AGGAGGUCUGGAGCCUAUCCCUUACCUGGGACAGUGGCAUGCGGCCAGUUUAACCAGAGUAGUACGCCUGUCAUACUGUAAUCCAGGUGUCCUAAGGUGAAGUCAAAGAGGACAGAAGCCUCACGUCGAGCAGUGGUGCAAAUGUUUACAUGAUCUUGACUGUGAAAGUGGGGCCUCAAGGUUCUUCUGAUUUUUUUGGGUUUUAAGACGGUUUUAAGGUGUCUGAACAUUUAC